GUCGCGAGAUGGCGCAAGAAUAGUUAACGAGCUUCCAAAUAUAUAUAAAGUCAUCUAAUUUGCAAGAAACAUUUAGGGUAGCAGUGAAUUUAUAUAAUAUAAAGAAAGUAUUUGAACUAGCAACGGAAAAUAUUUAAAUAUCAUAAUUUAUUUGAACUUUACUCUACACAUAUAAAAUCGGCAAAUACCUAUUGAUUUUUGUUUGAUCAUAUCUGCUUUAAAACAUGGAAUUUAGUGAACUUUACGCACUAUUUCUGAUGAUUUUAUCAUUUUUAGUUUCCGUUACCAUUCUUAUGGCGAAAGAUGUCUACGAUCCAACUCUAAAGGAAUCAGUGACAAAAAAGACAAAAAAAAAAAUCAUACUUUUUGAGGAUGAUAUUAUAGAUGAAAAGGACGUAAAAGAAGAAGCAAUAUUCCGUUACUUUAAUCCACUUUUUGAACCUGAAUUGUUAGAAUACAGAGCAAUGUUGCUGGAAUCUUAUAAAACAGAAUCAAUGACUGAAGAAGAAAGAAAAAAAGUCGAAGAUAAUGUCGAUAAAAUUGUAGAACUUCAUCGGCUAAAUCCAUAAAAUGAUAAAUUUUCUAAGGUACAAUUUUUUUACCCUAAGGGCAACUCAGAAAGAGUAUAAAUCAAUAAAAAUUAUUCUUGAGUAAAAAUAUACUGUUAUAGCACGAGUAUCGUUAGUAUCAUUUACCACCGACAGAUGGCGCUGGAUAAUUGUGGCGCCUUCCCCUCCUUAUAUAUAUAUCCCUCUAUAGUUCAAUUUACAAGAAGACACUAUGGAUGUUCCUUUCUGAUCGGUAUAAGACAAUAUAUCAGUAAUAUAACCUCAACUCUUUGCCUCAACUUUUGCCUGCGAGCAGCGUCUUUAGGCGUGUAUCAUCAACUUUCCAAUAAUGCACACUCAUGGUUUUGUUUAUGGAUACGCUUCAUAUUCAGAAUUUUUUUUAAACAAAGAAUGACUCACGCAUUUUGCCGUCUGUGCGGUCGAUCUCCGACAGUCACGCCGGCUACCCAGAGAGAAAUUCGUUUUCGAGCGCUCCGCAUCGAAAGGGUUAAGGUAUUUUUACAUUAAAAUAUUAAAGCAAGCUGGCUAGUUAAUUUUGAGAAAAAAACUUUUAAUGUUUUGCUUACUUGCUUGUUUAUAUUCUUCAAAAUUCAUCUAAUUAUCAAGGGGUACGGUAAUGUAAGUAGUAGCGUUCUCUUCUGCUGCUCGGAUUACCGGAGUUCGAUUCCUUGUGCGUAGAUUUUUUUAAAUUUGUUUUCUCUACAUAUAUAUGGUCGAGUCAUAAGUAGCUUCCGAUGCAGCUAUGUAGAAUCUAUUAUUCGAAUUUACCCGCUAUGAGUUACCAAUACAAAGAGUUUUUGAUUUCAUUAAUUACACGAGGUUUCCAUUAGUCUUUUGUCAACAACUUUGUAUGAUACACGUUAAAAUAAACUGCUUCUUUAUCCUCUGAAAUAGAGAGCCAAAAAUUACAUAUUCGUCAUGUGAUGCUUUGGGAAUUUAAACAAGGCAAUAAUGCUAAGGCGACAGCCGAAAAAGUAUGCAGAGUGUAUGGUGAAGGAUUGAUAACUGAUCGGGCAGUUAGAAAUUGGUUCGUAAAAUUCCGUUCUGGAGAUAUGACUUUAAAAGACGAACCGAGGGCGGGACGUCCUUCCGACUUCGACGACAACCUUUUAAAGGCAGUAUUGGAGCAAAAUCCACGUUAAUCGACAAGAUGUAUAGCAGAAAGGUUGAAUACAUCGCAAUCAACCGUUAUCCGCCAUCUGGAGAAAUUAGGGAAUCGUCAAUCGGAAAAAUGUCAUCCUUCUGCACGACAAUGUGCGACCACAUACAGCAAAGGUGACUCAAGAAAAAUUCUUUUGAGCCUGGAUGGUUUGUUUUAUCACAUUCUCUUUACUCCUCGGACCUUGCCCCGACAGACUACCACCUUUUCUGUUCCCUACAAAAUUUCUUGAAUGGAAAAUCUUUCAAUUCUGAAGAGCAAAUCACGCAGGCUGUCGAGAACUUCUUCCAGUCCAAACCAGCCACAUUUUACAAGGAAGGAUUUACAAACUGCCUGGAAGAUGGGAGAAGGUUAUAGAUAAUGGUGGUGAAUACGGAAUAAAUUAAUGUAAUUUUUUUAUUUAAUGAGAGCAAAAUAAAUAUCUGAUAAGGAAACGGAAGUUACUUAUGACUCGACCUAAUAUAUAUAUUACCGGUAUAGUUGGAAAUCCGGCAAUGCUAGUAAUACCCCUGCAUUGUCAUCAAUGCAAAGCGCCUUUUGACAAAGUUAGAAAUGUAUUCAUAUUUCUCACAUUUCCUAGAAAUUCUCGAGAAUGACAAAUGAGAAACCGGUAAAUUAAAAAACCAGAUAUAAAAUAUUUCGUUCUAAACCCGUUUAUCUAACGAUACGAUAAGGAAUAAAAAAUACAGAUUUUCUGUAGACAUCUCUAUGAAUAUCGGUCUAAACGUAAUAUAAUCUUCUCCUACGAUAAGUAACAGUGGGCCCUACAUAAUAACACACCGGCAUAGAGUAAGUUUCAGUUUAUAGAGGUACGCAUAGUAUAGCGACACGCAUAGUCUCAACACCCGCACCAUGCUCGCUUUUGUGUGUGUGUGUGUGUGUGUGUGGGAGCGGGGUGUGGGUUGUUUGUGGGGGGGGAGGUUGCAUAUACUGUGUGUGCCUGCUGUCCGAUAAUGUAUUCUUUUUAAUAUUGCCUUAAGUAGCAUUUGGUGUUCUAUAGAAUGCAUAAGUAUUAUGUUCAAUGUUUAGGAAAAGUCUGUAAGAAUUCUUCUGUUUCCGACUUUGUUAAAAGGCGCUUUGCAUUGAUGACAAUGCCGGGGUAUUACUAGCCGGUAACAUAUAUGUGGGAUUGGAGAAAAUUCAUAAAUAAAAGUGUGGAUAAAUAUAAAGGCAAAAAACGUUACGAUAUGAAUGUUCGAGAACGAUCAUUAUUAAAUAUAUACAUUAAUAUUUCUAGAAUAAGUAAAGAUGUUUUUCUGGUAUGUAGAACUAUAAGAAAUGUUGCCCUCUGUUGUAUGGUGUGAAAAAAUGAGAGGGUAUGAGUACAUGCGUGUUUUUAGCGUGGAUGUGGGAGGAUACGAGAAGCGGUGAUAUAAAAGAAAGGAUUAAAGAGGAGAGAGUCGAAUAAGAGAGUCUAAAAGUUUAAGUGUAAAGAAAGGCUAAUAUAAGCAGCUAAGAGUAAAGAGAAUUUAGAGAGAUCGAGAGUGAAAGAGUGGGGUUACAAAAAAUAUCCUACAUAUAUAUUCAUAAGUUUUGAAGUUUUUAAAAUGAAACUUCUUUACACGCACAGAAGUAAAUAUUCAAGGUCGCGACGCAUGGUUUCUAUGGUUACUAUGUGACUGAAGCUGGACAGGAAAAACGACGCAAGAUGCAAUUCAUACGCGAUUAAGAAAGAUGAAGCAUAUUAUACACAGUAUUGUCUAUUUUCGAUUUUCUCUUCGUGCAUUUCCUCUGAUGAAAGAGGGAAUGUUAGGUAAUCGCACCUUAGGCACGCAUACACCUUUUCGAGGGGGAGUGGAGACGCUGUGAAAUGUUCUGUGAUAUAUAGUGUGUAUUGGAGAGUAUAUCACGGGCAAAAAUCGUAUAAUUGAUCAAUUACAUUUGUACCCACUACAAAUAGAGCAUGAGAGAAAUCUAGGUGAAUAGUGCGUCAUGUAUAUGUAUAUAGGCAAAAUGGAAAAUGUCAGGCGUUUUUAGGCAAUGUAGGAAACAAAAGAAUUAUUACGGACUUUUCCUAGGCAUUAUACAUAAUACUUAGGAGGCAAAUGGCUUUGCUAAUUGACCUAUGGAAUACCGCUAUGGGGUAUAGCAACGAAAAGUCACAUUGCCAAGCUCGAGGCUCAACAAUCCAUAAUCUUACGCACAAUCGUGAAUGCUCCAUGGUACGUCCGUAAUGAAGGAAGGACUUAAACAUUCCCACGAUAGAAGAAGAAAUAACCAAGACAACCUGCAA
rnacentral:misc_RNA from 1 species